rnacentral:rRNA from 1 species
AACGAACGCUGGCGGCAGGCCUAACACAUGCAAGUCGAGCGCCCCGCAAGGGGAGCGGCGGACGGGUGAGUAACACGUGGGAAUUUUCCUCAAGGUACGGAACAACUCAGGGAAACUUGGGCUAAUACCGUAUGAUGCAGAGAUGCCAAAGAUUUAUCGCCUUGGGAUAAGCCCGCGUCAGAUUAGGUAGCUGGUGGGGUAACGGCCUACCAAGCCUGCGAUCUGUAGCUGGUCUGAGAGGACGAUCAGCCACACUGGGACUGAGACACGGCCCAGACUCCUACGGGAGGCAGCAGUGGGGAAUCUUGCGCAAUGGGCGAAAGCCUGACGCAGCCAUGCCGCGUGAAUGAUGAAGGUCUUAGGAUUGUAAAGUUCUUUCGCUCGUGACGAUGAUGACGGUAACGAGAGAAGAAGCCCCGGCUAACUUCGUGCCAGCAGCCGCAGUAA